AACUUUCAGCAACGGAUCUCUUGGCUCUCGCAUCGAUGAAGAACGCAGCGAAAUGCGAUAAGUAAUGUGAAUUGCAGAAUUCAGUGAAUCAUGGAAUCUUUGAACGCACCUUGCGCUCUUUGGUAUUCCUACGGGCAUGCCUGUUUGAGUGUCAUUAAAAUAUCAAACUUGACCUGGGUUUUGUUCUCUCGUGUUUGCUUGGAAUUGGGUGCUUGCCGCUUUUACGAGCGGCUCACCUUAAAUGUAUUAGCUGGAUCUGUCUUUGAGACUUGGUUUGACUUGGCGUAAUAAGUAUUUCGCUAAGGACAUUCUUCGGAGUGGCCUCGUUUCUAGGACGCUUGUCCGCUUCCCAAUACAAGUUCCACCUCGUGGACAUGACUUUUUAUUAUCUGGCCUCAAAUCAGGUAGGACUACCCGCUGAACUUAAGCAUAUCAAUAAGCGGAGGCU
rnacentral:misc_RNA from 1 species